GGAUAUUGUCAACAGUUUUGCAGCACAGUAACAGCGAUAAAAACCCAUCCCGACCGUGCAAUGCUGCCUGUGAGUGGACUUUCCGUUUGAUGGACAGUUCAGAUUCACCAACGAGAAGCCUCGUUAGAUUGCAAGCGUGACAGGAGAGAGAAGGUGUUACAGCUGUGGUGCCCAUGAACCUCUGGUGACACGGCGGGCCUGCCACCACUCAUCAUCGGCGGCGUUGAUGACAUGGAGGAUGUCUCCGUACCUGAAGCUGAGCCCUUGGCUGGGGAGCCCACUGUCCUUCGCCUUUUCAUAGUCAAACAGUGCUCUAAAAAGAGGAAAAUUCAAAUCAUUGUGUUGCAAAACCUAAAUAAGAGAAAACCAGAGUACGCCUGGAUAUCACUUAAUUUCCUUACAGAUUUCAUGUAGUUAUAACAGAUUCUAAAAGGUGAAAGGAAUAAGAAAAAAUGUUUACAUUUCCAACUUCAUCGAUUAGUCAUUAAAUGUCCACAAUAUAUAAUUUCUUAAAGUAGAAUUUCAUUAUAGACUAAAGAUCCAAAGGUCAACACCCAUAAAAAAAACAUUAAAAUACAGAAUAAUUAAAUUACAAGUAAAAUAUAAACUAUAAACUUAAAACUUUAAGUGACAACCUAAGUAUAAAUUAAGUUGGGAACAUUUUCAGAAAAUUAACUUAUUUGGCUUUUUAAGUCAUUCCUUAAAAACACAGUAUAAAAUAUAUUUAACACCAGUCUUUACAUUUUUGUGAUUACUGUAACAGCUUCUGCUAUUAAAAUAAUUUUCAAACUUUAUUUGACUUUUUAAGCAUACUUCCAGAAACUAGUGACCUGCUGGAGCUGUAAGGCUUCAAACAGGAAGUUCAAUUUCUCUUUUUACAAUUUUAGACCCACACAUGGAUACAUGCAAACAUCUGAGUUGCAGAAAUAUUUCUUUUAAGUUAUUCUUUAAGAAAAGAUGAAGUCAGACUACUUUUCUGAUUUUUUAUUUAAAGAAAAACAGCUUGUCUUAUUUGCGACUCACAGCAAAUGUUAAUUUACUGUUGUAUCAAAAUUUGUCACAGGAAAUUCUGUUUUCCUUCUUAAAGCUGGAGAUAAUUUUACUUUAUCUUCACAACUGAUAGAAAAGUGCUUUCAAAAUAAAAUUACAGUGUCCUUAGGCCUUAAUUUCUUUCCUCAAUUUUAGAAAUGAGCUUAUACUCAAACUUGAAUUCAAAUAAAACAAACCUGACAUAGAGAGACUUCUUCUGAUUGGUUCGAAGAGAUCCUGAACCAGAGCUCAUGCUGUGGUUCAUCAUCUGCUCCCUGAGGUCAUGAAUUUUGGCCUCAAAGCGACUGUAUUCUGAAAGAGAAAAUGAGAAGAAAAAGCGACAUUUGAUGUAGUUGAUUAAAAAUUUCUUUCAAAGUCAGAAGCAAAAAAAGUUAAUAGAAAUAUAAAAAAUCCUACAUUGCUGAGUCAAUGUGAUAACGAUUUAUAGGGUUUAAUUCUAUAAUUAAAUAUAUAUUUUUUAAUGAAUUCCAGAGAAUUUUCCUGUACCUGGUAGCAGCUCUGUUUUUAUCCCGUAUAUCUGUGGCGACGUACCUUCUGGUCUGUACUGGGCAAAGAUGGUGACCACUUGCCCCGCCCCUUUCAGUGCCGCCGCUGCCUGUUCAUGUGUGGCUCCUCUGAGGUCGAUGCCAUUCACCUGUUUCAAAAACAAAUUCAUAUAUUUUGUGUCUACUCGUUAGUCGCAGGAGUUGCAUUGUAAAAAUAUCCUGCGAUGGGUGGAAUCUACAAAGUAGAAUUACAGAUGUUUUAAGACUGUUAAACUCCAAUCUACACACUUGAUACACUUUUCUUAGACAAACAUGAAUAUUUUCAAACUUUUCUGCCUUUUUCUAAACUCAUGAAGCUCAAACCUUUCAUACAAAAAUAAGUCCAGUAUUAUAGAAUGAAAAAAGAUCUGAUAUCAAAUAUUUACAGUUGUACUCAGAAGUUUAGUUAAUUGUAAAGCAUUUCAUUCUUCUGGUCAGAAAACAUCAGGUUAUUUUAAAUUCUCUGGCUGAUUUGCUUGAACUGGCCAUUGAGAUCUCCCCUGAGUGUCUCAAUAAUCUUGAGGUCAGGAGACUGAGACGACCAAUCCUGAAUCUUCACCUUAUUCUGGUUUAACCAAUGACAGGUGGACUUUGCCUUGUGUUUUGGAUUGUUGUCAUGUUGAAAUGUCCAAGUGCGUCCCAUGUGCAGCCUCCAAGCUGAAGAGUGCAUGUUUUCCUCCAGUAUCUUCUGAUAAUGUGCUGCAUUCAUCUUGCCAUCAAUUUUGACUAAAUUUGUAGCUCAUACAUCCCCAAACCAUUAGCGAUCCGCCUCCGUGUUUCACUGUAGGAGUAGUUUUGUUUUCAUCACAGGCCUUGUUGACUCCUCUCCAAAUGUAGCAUUUAUAGCUGUAGCUAAAAAGUUCAAUCUCUGUCACAUCACUCCUAAUGACUUUGGUCCAGAAGUUUGGAGGUUUGUCUCUGUGCUGUUUGGAGUAUUGGAAGCAAACUAGUUUGUGGCUUUUAUGCAAAAAAAGUCUUUCUUCUGGCGACAUUUUUCUUCAGAUGCCUCAUUAUUGUACAUCUUCCACACUACCGUUUUUCAUUCCUGAACCACAACUGAAGUUAUUAGCAGGUUUUUUCUUUGAAUCCCUGACAAAUUUUCUGGCAAAAAUUGUUGUAACUGUGGUUUGGUUUCAACAGAACCCCUCAUUUUCCACUUCUUGAUCAAAGUUUGAACACUGCUCGAUGGCAUGGAAAUCUUCUUAUAUCCCUUUCCUGUUUUGUACAGUUCAGUUACCCUUUCCCGUAGAUCUUAUGACAGCUCUUUAGAUUUUCCCAUGACUCAGGAUCCAGAAAUGUCACUGGAUGAAGGAUGCAAUGGUCUGUUGGGAGUCCAGAAACUCCUAAACCUGUUGUGCACACACAUUGAUUACAGGCAAACGAGUCACAGGUCAGGACGGUUACCUUAAGCUGUCAUUCAAACCCUUUUGCAUCUUUGUUGUCCUUAUGACCAUAAUUUCUUCCAGGGUAUGUAAACUUCUCCCCCCUUGUGCUCUCUUAUGGGGUCCAGAUGACCCCACAUUUACAUUGAUGUGUGACCCCUCCCAUGACAAAGGUGUACAAGAUUUAAUGUCUCUCACGGACACUAAUGAAGUUAAAAAAUCCUUGGAAAAAAAAAAGUUCAGAUGUGACAAACUGAAUGUUUUCUGUACAGGAAACACAGUAUGGAGAUUGAUUCAUAAGGUCAACAACCAACUGUAGAAAAAAAGAAGCAACAUUGCACUAAAAAAGAAAAA